GUUCUACUGCGGCGUUGGUGACUGCCAAUAUUGUUUUGCGAUCUAUGUUUCGUCAAUCAGGGCAUCCAGUUGCGCGGAUGGCGGUAAACCGGGCCUGUACCCGGAAACCAUACGUCCAGCGCCAGGAUACCCACCUGGGUCUCCCAGGUCGGAAGCUGAGGUAAGACGGCGUUGCGGUGAACUA
rnacentral:other from 1 species